rnacentral:rRNA from 1 species
UACGUAGGUGCAAGCGUUGUCCGGAAUUAUUGGGCGUAAAGAGCUCGUAGGCGGUUUGUCGCGUCUGCUGUGAAAACUCGGGGCUUAACUCCGGGCCUGCAGUGGGUACGGGCAGACUAGAGUGCGGUAGGGGAGACUGGAAUUCCUGGUGUAGCGGUGAAAUGCGCAGAUAUCAGGAGGAACACCGGUGGCGAAGGCGGGUCUCUGGGCCGUAACUGACGCUGAGGAGCGAAAGCUGGGGAGCGAACAGGAUUAGAACCUACGAGU